UUGCAAUGAUGUAUGAAUUUCUUCACCUGAAUUAACAGCAUGAAGAAUAAAUAGACGAGCUUUUUAACCCUGAGCAAA